ensembl:lncRNA
AAGAGAUUAAAACUCACCUUAUCAAAUUUGCUUUGACCCAUGACUGCCUCUUGUCAUGGGUAGCUGAUAAGAACCCACCUGCAGUGUGGGAGACUUGGGUUUGAUCCCUGGGUUGGGAAGAUCCCCUGGAGAAGGGAAUGGUUACCCACUCCAGUAUUCUGGCCUGGAGAAUUCCAUGGACUGUAUAGUCCGUGGGGUCACAAAGAGUCGGAUAUGACUGAGCGACUUUCACUUUCAUGACUGCCUGAAUAUCCCUCUUUACCCCCAAGCUGCUAACAAAACUAAGGCAAUACAAUUGUGUGUGAGGAGCAGCUAAUAAACUUGCUGACUGCUGCUUCUGACAGAGUUGCAUGUGCACUGGAUAAUUGAUUCACAUUUCUUGCCCCUUUACAUGACUACAUCUUCUGUGAGAUCUCAGGGAAAUAGGUUGAAUUAAGUCAUAUAAAGAACUGUUUUCCUCUCAUAGGUAAACUUCUAGGAGUAAUCCUAUUAGGAAGUUUUAUUGAUACAUUAACCAGCAUGGUUAUUGGUGCUCAGAAUAAAGACAAGCCUGGAAAGGUGAAAUCAACAGUCUUCAUCACAGGUGAGAAAACAGAAGCUCUGAAGUUAAUCCGUCCCCCAAGACUGAUGCUGGAGAAGAGCAAGUGAAACAAGUGUCCUGAUGUCCAGAGGAUAAAUGGUAUCCAGAGACAAUGCACUCUGUUCCAGUCCUCUCCCCCUAUCUGGGUUUGAUAAUUGCUGAGAAAUGAUAAAUACAUAAUUGGAACACUCUUACAUACUCCAUGCACAACAGAUAAAGUUAGUUACUAACAGUAAAGUUAGUAACUUAGGACAAAAUUGGAAUAGAAACAUUCUCUGGCAACUGUUACCCCUUCUCAUUAGUUGGUGCCUAGAGGAUAUGUAUACUUCUUAAUUCCAGCUUUGCCUUACCUCUGAGCAGACAGGAAUGACCAAGAGGUAAU